rnacentral:tRNA from 1 species
GCCGGCUUGGCGCAAUUGGUAGCGCACCUAACUUGUAAUUAGGGGGUUGCGGGUUCAAGUCCCGCAGUCGGCUCCA